rnacentral:lncRNA from 1 species
CUCACUUGAAUAGUCUGGAAUAUAGCAGUAUAAGCAGAUCAAAGGAUUUUUUAAUCUUAAGAUAUAGUAGAAGUAUUUUAUAAUAUUUCCCGCUGUUUAACUGAAAAAGCAACAUUGUACUAGGUCAGAUCAUCAAGGAUCAUUUUUAAAGCUGAUCCAACAUUUGGAAACAAACUUCCCAGGCAGUCCUCUCACUUUGUCACUUCCACAUGACUUUCCCAGGCACCUGGAUUCUGUCAGGAGCAAAAACAACAGAUGCCAUAAUCUUCAUCUGCAGACAUGAAAUCCUAAGGAAGAGAAAGACAGGUGAUCUUCCAUAGAAAUGAGAAUGUACAGUGCAUAUUCAAAUGCACAGAGGACUACAGAUCUUCAUGGAAUCA